rnacentral:rRNA from 1 species
UCCGUAGGUGAACCUGCGGAAGGAUCAUUAUCGAGUUUUGACUGGGUUGUAGCUGGCCUUCCGAGGCAUGUGCACGCCCUGCUCAUCCACUCUACACCUGUGCACUUACUGUGGGCUUCAGACGUCGCGAAGCGGGCUCUUUACUGAGCCUGUAGAGCGGUGUCUGUGCCUGCGUUUAUCACAAACUCCAUAAAGUAUUAGAAUGUGUAUUGCGAUGUAACGCAUCUAUAUACAACUUUCAGCAACGGAUCUCUUGGCUCUCGCAUCGAUGAAGAACGCAGCGAAAUGCGAUAAGUAAUGUGAAUUGCAGAAUUCAGUGAAUCAUCGAAUCUUUGAACGCACCUUGCGCUCCUUGGUAUUCCGAGGAGCAUGCCUGUUUGAGUGUCAUGAAAUCUUCAACUUACAGACCUUUGCGGGUUUGUAGGCUUGGACUUGGAGGCUUGUCGGCCGUGUUUCGGCCGGCUCCUCUUAAAUGCAUUAGCUUGAUUCCUUGCGGAUCGGCUCUCGGUGUGAUAAUGUCUACGCCGCGACCGUGAAGCGUUUUGGCGAGCUUCUAACCGUCCUCGUUUGGACAGCUUUAUGACCUCUGACCUCAAAUCAGGUAGGACUACCCGCUGAACUUAAGCAUAUCAAUAAGCGGAGGA